UACGUAGGGUGCGAGCGUUAAUCGGAAUUACUGGGCGUAAAGCGUGCGCAGGCUGCUUCGCAAGUCAGGCGUGAAAUCCCCGGGCUUAACCUGGGAAUGGCGUCUGAAACUACGGAGCUAGAGUGUGGCAGAGGGAGGUAGAAUUCCACGUGUAGCGGUGAAAUGCGUAGAUAUGUGGAGGAACACCAGUGGCGAAGGCGGCUUCCUGGACUAAAACUGACACUGAGGCACGAAAGCGUGGGUAGCAAACAGG
rnacentral:rRNA from 1 species